CCUGAACUAGCUGGAGGACUGCAUCCUGCCACCCUAACGAAUAUCCAGGCAAUGAAUUGGGUUUAUAUGCACCAAUGGUGCGCUGCCAAUCACCUAAAGCCCUUGACUGACCUCCUCACAGGCUGACGAUCGACACAUCUAUAUAGGUUCCACUAGCACCAAAUAAAGACCUUUUACACAUCCAUUCGAAGCAGGGACCAACUACACAGAACCCUGACAUAUUUAGAAGGCCUAUGCCUAGAAAACACAUUACAUGCAGAAUUGCAGUCCUAUACAACGUCCUACUAACUAAUGGCGACAAACGUCCACUGGGUUUCACUGGUAAAUGGGAAAAAGAGGUAGAGGUCAAUUCACAGACCAAGAAUGGGACAAAAUAUUCCUCCUGACACACAAAUGCUCAAUAAGUUCAAAAUACCAAGAAAUGAGCUACAAAUUACUGAUACACUGGUAUAGAACUCCUGACACUCUCAGACGCAUACAUGAAUAGUGGGCGAGUGUUGGCGUUGUGGUGCUGGUAUUGGCAAUGUAUUGCAUAUCCGAUGGUCUUACCUCCUCAUAGUCGUCUUCUGGCAUAUGGUGAACAUGAAAAUAGAGGAGAUUACAGACUCAGGCCUACCACUACAAGCAGAAUAAGCAACAUCAAUUAUGAAUAGCAGAGCGUCGGGGUGAUAGCACCAGACAUGCCACUCAGACAUAACCCUUUGAGGACACUGAGACUGAACUGACCUCUGUUGUACGUACAGUUGACCACGCUAUUAUCCCUUGUUACUUUUCGAUAGUCCUGUACAACUACACACUAAUUUUGAGCCAUGUUAC